UACAGAGGUCUCAACCGUUGUUCGGAUUCAUUGGGCGUAAAGGGUGCGUAGGCGGUCGCGCAAGUCGGAUGUGAAAUCUCAGGGCUCAACCCUGAAACUGCAUUCGAUACUGCGUGGCUAGAGUGCUGGAGGGGAGACUGGAAUUUACGGUGUAGCAGUGAAAUGCGUAGAUAUCGUAAGGAAGACCAGUGGCGAAGGCGAGUCUCUGGACAGCAACUGACGCUGAGGCACGAAGGCCAGGGGAGCAAACGGG
rnacentral:ncRNA from 3 species